AGUGAACGCUGGCGGUAGGCCUAACACAUGCAAGUCGAACGGCAGCACAGUAAGAGCUUGCUCUUACGGGUGGCGAGUGGCGGACGGGUGAGGAAUACAUCGGAAUCUACUUUUUCGUGGGGGAUAACGUAGGGAAACUUACGCUAAUACCGCAUACGACCUACGGGUGAAAGCAGGGGAUCUUCGGACCUUGCGCGAUUGAAUGAGCCGAUGUCGGAUUAGCUAGUUGGCGGGGUAAAGGCCCACCAAGGCGACGAUCCGUAGCUGGUCUGAGAGGAUGAUCAGCCACACUGGAACUGAGACACGGUCCAGACUCCUACGGGAGGCAGCAGUGGGGAAUAUUGGACAAUGGGCGCAAGCCUGAUCCAGCCAUACCGCGUGGGUGAAGAAGGCCCUCGGGUUGUAAAGCCCUUUUGUUGGGAAAGAAAAGCAGCAGGUUAAUACCCCGCUGUUCUGACGGUACCCAAAGAAUAAGUACCGGCUAACUUCGUG
rnacentral:rRNA from 1 species